UGCUGAGCCAGUUGGAGCUGGUACAUUUUAAUUACUUGCUGUCUUCACUGGAGUGCUGCAAGCUCGAAGUGUGAUCCUUAGUAGCUGUUAUUCAAUACCAUAUGCUCUUAAGGACAACGCCCUGAUGUCCAAGGUCAAUCAGCAAGAAGCUGAGAAGGCACUGUCAAAAUGGUUCACUGGGGCAAGGGACAGAGGAGGACAGAGAGCAUCAAGAAUGCAGAAAAGGAUGUCUAUUUGAGAAAGGUUAUAACUACAGUUGCUGAUUUGAACUGUCAUAGUUCUUUUAUUUUUCUUAAAGGAAAACCUUUUUCAAUAUUUUACCAUGUUCUUCCCUCAACUUAGAUGAAUUAAUACAUACCUCUAUUUUCUCAAUGCGUGCACUUAAAGGUGGGGUGCACAAUUUCUGAAAAAUAAAGUUUUGGAAAAGGGAGUCGGGCCGACUACCAAAACACACUUGUAGCCAAUCAGCAGCAUGUCUACUAACUGACAUCGUUUCCUGCGUUGCGUAUUUGUGGGGCGGGUCUAUCAAAAAAGGUCCAGAUUCUAUUAGUGUAAGGGUGUGUUUGUUUAGAUGAUUUCAAAUGUAAACAUUGGCUUUCAUGCACCCUGCCUUUAUUUGUUGUGAAUUGUGGCGUGAAUAUGUUAGCAUUUAGCCUAGCACCUUUCAUUCAUUAAGAUCCAAACAGGGAAGAAUUUAAAAGCCACCAAACACGUCCAUGUUUUCUAGGGGUGCACGAUUCAGAAAAUUUCACGAUUCGAUUCCGAUUUUUGGGCUCAAGAUUCGAUUAAAAAAAACCCGAUUUUCGAUUCAAAAACGAUUCUUGAUUUUAACAAACGAUUCACAUUAUGUAAAUGUAGUUUACUUUUUCCUAUGUGACUGAUUGAAGUAGAUAUACAAUUUUAAAGAAAAGAAACACAACAAGCUAAAUGUAGUUGUAUGUAUGAUGUCUUUAUGCAAAAAUAAAAACUGU